rnacentral:tRNA from 1 species
CCGGUAGUUCAGUUGGUUAGAACGCCUGCCUGUCACGCAGGAGGUCGACGGUUCGAGUCCGUUCCG